UACAGAGGGGGCAAGCGUUAUUCGGAAUUAUUGGGCGUAAAGGGCGCGUAGGCGGCCUGGCAAGUGGAAGGUGAAAUCCCUCGGCUUAACCGAGGAACUGCCCUCCAAACUGCUUGGCUUGAGUCCGGGAGAGGUGAGUGGAAUUCCCAGUGUAGCGGUGAAAUGCGUAGAUAUUGGGAGGAACACCGGUGGCGAAGGCGGGACUCUGGGCCGAUACUGACGCUGAGGAGCGAAAGCGUGGGGAGCAAACAGG
rnacentral:rRNA from 1 species